CUGUUUCCUCAGCGCAUUACAAAGGCGGCGCAUUGAGGGAGAGGAGGGGUUGCUAGCGGUUUCGAGAGACACUGCAUACUCUCCUCUAACAAACAGCCAAGUAUCUGGAAAAUAAAAGGAUGACCAAUGGUGAAAGAGACAGGAGACACACUGUGUGGAAAGGGCACCAAUUUGGAGUCAAGAAGUCCUAGAGCAACCUUUAUUUCUGCCACUUACUUGUCCCCAGGCUGCUCCUGAACCUCAGGCAAAGGUCUGGAACUCUCAAUCUCCGACAGCUUCUGGAUUCUUCCUUUGGCAUCAAGCCCCAAGCUGGCAGCCUUCUGACUAGACAACAACCAGGUCAGAUGCAGACUUCCUUUGCUCUUGGACUGGACUCACUUCCAGCGCCUGCAGCUGGGCCUGUGCCCCCACUGCCUGCCUCACCCUUGUAGGAGAGUCUGGUUUCAGUUGCCUGUAGCGGGGCCCUGCAGAGGCCUUGCACCUAAGACAUGGGAUUGGAGUUCCCAGUGAAGAGAUGCUGGCACUGAGAUAUGGUGUGCCUUGCGCAACACACCUGCCCCAACGGGCAAGGACUCUGCCCCUCCCUCCGCAGAUGAACCCUAUAAACUGGUCCCGCCAACCGCCCGUCUCAGAGAGUGUGUACUCAGAGUGGGAGCUCCCACCUCUCCAUUCUUUGAUCAAAGAAUAAAACUUUCCUUCGCUUCUGAACCAAACUCGGUCUCCUUCUAUCAGCGCGAACAAUACCAGGCAGAAGGACUCUUGUUGGGGACCCACUCUGGAAGAGACCUGAGAGAGAUCCUCUCCCUUCCCACCGUGUGAGAAUACAGUGAAGGCUCCAGCUAAGAGCCAGAAAGAGAGCUCUCAUCAGGCCAUGCCCAAGCUGGCAUCUGAUCUUGGACUUCCCAGCCUCCAGAACUGUG